GAUCCUGGCUCAGAGUGAACGCUGGCGGCAGGCCUAACACAUGCAAGUCGAGCGGCAGCGCGUCCGACCACCCUCGGGUGGUCGGAUGGCGGCGAGCGGCGGACGGGUGAGGAAUGCAUCGGAAUCUGCCUCGUUGUGGGGGAUAACGUAGGGAAACUUACGCUAAUACCGCAUACGACCUACGGGUGAAAGUGGGGGACCUUCGGGCCUCACGCGAUGAGAUGAGCCGAUGCCGGAUUAGCUAGUUGGCGGGGUAAAGGCCCACCAAGGCGACAAUCCGUAGCUGGUCUGAGAGGAUGAUCAGCCACACUGGAACUGAGACACGGUCCAGACUCCUACGGGAGGCAGCAGUGGGGAAUAUUGGACAAUGGGGGCAACCCUGAUCCAGCCAUGCCGCGUGUGUGAAGAAGGCCUUCGGGUUGUAAAGCACUUUUGUUGGGGAAGAAACCGGCCGGGUUAAUACCCUGGUUGAAUGACGGUACCCAAAGAAUAAGCACCGGCUAACUUCGUG
rnacentral:rRNA from 1 species